GAAGACUAAUCUGAAUAUUCCCUUACAUUUCCUAAUAAAGAAAGAAAAUCAAGAUUUUUGUCUUACCACUUACGUCCCUUGCUUCCUGAUUGGUUCUCAAACAAAUAGAUUGCAGCUGCCUUCCUUAAAAGCCUGAAAGGUAAGACAUGGUUGAUGCACCAAGCAAAUGAACACCCUCAACUUUUUAUCCUAAAUCAUGUAUUGCACGUGUCCUUCCUUGGAACUACAUAUUACUUGCUAUAAUGGAAUGUAUGUGUACUUUGAAUAAGACUUCAGCUCAUAUACUUGUAUGGGAAGCGCAAAACUUUGUUUUUGUAAACCACACUGUCAGAAACUUGGCUGUCUGAAGUCACCUCUGUACGAGCCCACCAUUUCCUGACCAGGAUCUUAGUCACCUUAACACAGAGAAACAGCCUUCGUAUCCCACCCAGAGGCAGAGUUUCAGGUUCUGCAAGAACACAAUUACCAGACCGGGAGCAAGUAAAUGUUAACCGUGGUGGUGAUCAA